ACUUCCAGCCCAAUACCACCCUGAGCACAUUUGAUCUCGUCUGAUCUCAGAAGCUAAGCAAGGUUUGACCUGGUUAGUGCUUGGAUUGGGGACUGCCUGCUGGUACUAGCUACUGUAAGCU
rnacentral:rRNA from 1 species